UACGUAGGUGGCGAGCGUUGUCCGGAUUUACUGGGCGUAAAGAGCGCGCAGGCGGUCGUGCAAGUCGCGUGUGAAAGCCCCCGGCUUAACUGGGGAGGGUCACGCGAUACUGCUCGACUCGAAGGCAGGAGAGGGUAGUGGAAUUCCCGGUGUAGUGGUGAAAUGCGUAGAUAUCGGGAGGAACACCAGUGGCGAAGGCGACUACCUGGCCUGUUCUUGACGCUGAGGCGCGAAAGCUAGGGGAGCAAACGGG
rnacentral:rRNA from 1 species